AUUGAACGCUGGCGGCAUGCUUUACACAUGCAAGUCGAACGGCCGCGCGGGCUUCGGCCUGGCGGCGAGUGGCGAACGGGUGAGUAAUGCAUCGGAACGUGCCCAGUAGUGGGGGAUAGCCCGGCGAAAGCCGGAUUAAUACCGCAUACGACCUGAGGGUGAAAGCGGGGGACCGAAAGGCCUCGCGCUAUUGGAGCGGCCUAUGUCGGAUUAGCUAGUUGGUGGGGUAAAGGCUUACCAAGGCGACGAUCCGUAGCUGGUCUGAGAGGACGACCAGCCACACUGGGACUGAGACACGGCCCAGACUCCUACGGGAGGCAGCAGUGGGGAAUUUUGGACAAUGGGGGCAACCCUGAUCCAGCCAUGCCGCGUGCGGGAAGAAGGCCUUCGGGUUGUAAACCGCUUUUGUUCGGGAAGAAAUCCUCUGGGCUAAUACCCCGGGGGGAUGACGGUACCGGAAGAAUAAGCACCGGCUAACUACGUG
rnacentral:rRNA from 1 species